GGCCUAACACAUGCACGUCGAGCGGCAGCGGGAAAGUAGCUUGCUACUUUUGCCGGCGAGCGGCGGACGGGUGAGUAAUGCCUGGGAAAUUGCCCAGUCGAGGGGGAUAACAGUUGGAAACGACUGCUAAUACCGCAUACGCCCUACGGGGGAAAGCAGGGGACCUUCGGGCCUUGCGCGAUUGGAUAUGCCCAGGUGGGAUUAGCUUGUUGGUGAGGUAAUGGCUCACCAAGGCGACGAUCCCUAGCUGGUCUGAGAGGAUGAUCAGCCACACUGGAACUGAGACACGGUCCAGACUCCUACGGGAGGCAGCAGUGGGGAAUAUUGCACAAUGGGGGAAACCCUGAUGCAGCCAUGCCGCGUGUGUGAAGAAGGCCUUCGGGUUGUAAAGCUC
rnacentral:rRNA from 1 species